CCUACGGGAGGCAGCAGUGAGGAAUCUUGGUCAAUGGCCGGAAGGCUGAACCAGCCAUGCCGCGUGAAGGUCAGUGCCCUAUGGGCGUUAAACUUCUUUUGUGCGGGAGCAAUAAUGGUCACGUGUGGCCAGACGAGAGUACCGUACGAAUAAGCAUCGGCUAACUCCGUGCCAGCAGCGGCGGUAAUACGGGGGAUGCAAGCGUUAUCCGGAUUUAUUGGGUUUAAAGGGUGCGUAGGCUGUGAGGGAAGUCAGCGGUGAAAUGCCCCGGCUCAACGGGGUGAAGUGCCAUUGAUACUGCGUGGCUGGAAUGCGGAUGCCGUGGGAGGAAUGUGUGGUGUAGCGGUGAAAUGCAUAGAUAUCACACAGAACACCGAUUGCGAAGGCAGGUCACGAAUCCUCGAUUGACGCUGAUGCACGAAAGCGUGGGUAUCAAACAGGAUUAGAUACCCUAGUAGUC
rnacentral:rRNA from 1 species